AUAUUAGAGCACCAUUAUCCCUGUUGCUUAUGGGUGUUGCUUAGGUUAAUUGUGAUUAAAAAUAAAUGGAAAUUACAUAUUAAUAGCGGCAACGUUGCUUAAUUAAGGGAAGAAAGCGACGACGCUUAUGGGACACGCGUCCACCUUUCACGGUUUCUUCUCUCUCUCUUCUCUCUUUCUGUAUCGGCUUGAAAAAAAAAAAUCAGAGAGUUGCGAUUGAUCUCUCCGGCUUCGUUCUUCACCUCUCUUCGCGAUGAAUUAGUCGGCGACGUGUAUCGACUCUGCGCCUUCCUUUCGCCUCUCCGCCUCCGCCUCCUUUUCGCCUUUCCGCUUCUCCGCCUCUCUUGCGCCUCUCCUCUCCGUCUGUCUUUCACGAGAUAACGUCGACGAUGAAGCACUGGGCGUCUCUCUCGGUUGAUCUUCUCGACGGACCUCGCUCGAUGCAUCUCUCCUCAAAUCGAAAGGCGGAGCUUCACGUGAAGUUAACAGAGACGAGGAGUGGUUGUCUUCUAUCACGGCAGGGUCAGUAGUCAGGAGGAGUAGUCAUGUUGUUGUCUUCAGUUUUAAAUUUUUUUAAAAUCCCUAAUAUAAGCAACUUGCAAUGGAGGAGGAAAAUUAUCAAGUUGCUUAGUUAAGUUGCUUACUAAAAAAAAUUCUUAAAAACCAAUAUUAUAUAAUUAAGCAACCCAUAAUCAGUUGUUGGGAUAAUGGUGCUCUUAGCUCUUCUACAAUCGAAAAGCCAGGUUUAGCAUAAGUUGGAGGAUUUGAGAUUCUGCAGCCGGAUCAGUUAUUUUGGGUAUCAUUUGAAAUUUCAGUCCCGAUUAUUUUCUGGUAAUCUUUGAUUUGGAUUAAUUCCAAUAACAAAACUAAAACCGGGAAACUAUUGGUUUUGGUUCAUCUUUACUUGGAUAAUUCAAUUAAAUUAUUGGAUAGUUUGGGUGAUUUGGAUAUAUAUAAUUUUAAUCGUUUUGAAUUAAACUUUUCUGAUAUUUUUAAAAGAAGAAUUGAAUAUUUCAAAAUUUUGGAUAAUUUUGUAUACAAAUAUUCGAUUUUGCAGAAUAUAUUUUGAAUUUUUGGAUGUUUAUUUAAUUUUUUUUAUUUUGUUUCAAGUUCAAUUUAAAUAUUUUGAAUAUAAAAUUUUAUGAUUAUUUGGACAAAAUUUAUGAUUAUCAGUCAAUAUUCUUUUUUCGGUUCAUUUUUUUGGUUCGGGAAAAUAAUUACGCCUAAUUGGGCUAAUUAUAUAAAUUAUUUUUUGUGUGUAAACAAAUCUACUUGUUAAUCUUAGCGUGUAACCAAAGGUCUGCAUGCAGUUAUACGUGUGCACACUAGUGGUUAUUAAACCUUUGUACUAAGUAUUAACAUUGAGAAGGUCCUUUUCCUGCGAGAUAUACAAUACAAGUGUUUUGUUAUGGGUUUCGAAAUGAAAAAUAGAGCUAAGUGAUGAAAGAUAAAAAAAACUCACUUCUCUUUAGCUUUUUUCCUAAUAAGUAUAGCUUUGAUGUAACAACACCCGAAAGGAUCAACAGGAUGGCUAAAUGACGAAACACAUGCCACUAUGCCAGAGAUCAAAGGGUUAUCAAGAAGUAGUCAAAGUAAAUGGUAAAAAGCAAGAAGAGAAGUGUUUGUUUCUUAGUUACCUCAAAUAGUUUUUUUUCUUACGUUGAACAUCACGUACAAUAACAUAGCUUCCACGGCCACAACUGACAAAAGCUCCAUUUGGUGUACUUUUGGGCAAGAUGCAAAAACCUAGUGAUGAACACGGAUUUCUAACAUAGGUUAUGAAUUGAGACUUAAAGCAUACCAUGAGCUCUGAACUCAAUGCUUCUAACAAACGCAUGAUAAAGCCCUCCACUUGUGAGACCUUGGUCCUUGGAUGUACCAAAAUGUAUAUCUGUCAAAGAGGAUAUGUAUAUACAUACAGUGAGAAGUUACCAGCUUAUCACUUUCUAUAGAUUCCACAUUUCCGCAGCUUGGACGGUGAUUUUGAGAAAAAAUGGUGAUUUUGAGAAACAAAAUCAUUUUGUUCAUGGAAUUGUGUUACUUGGGACCACUGAGAAAAUGGGCUAAAUAGAUCUUAUGAUCAAAGACCCAAUUUCUUUCUUUAGUGUUUUAUUUUUAGAAAUACAUUUUCUAAUUUUCUUUGAAAAUAGUUGAAACUGUCUGUUAUAAAAUUAGCACUGUUAACCUAUAUCGACAUAUGCCCAGAUGAAUAACUAACACUCGAGAGCUAAAUCAAUGCUUUCUAACCAAACAUUUGCAAACACUAUGAUUCACUUUACGAUUUAAAACUAGCUUGAAUGAUCUUCUGUCCCAUUUACAAUUUACAACUUAUUUUCCUCAUAAACAUUGACUUUGUUAAACCAUCUCUAACACUUCUAUAUUUUUCAAAAAUAGAGAAUUGAUAUUAUAAUGAUAUAUAAAAAAAAAAUUGUACUAGAAAUAAAAAUAAAAGAGGUAAAAAAAUAAUUUCCUAUAUUUUUUAAAAGAAAAAUAUAAUGAUAUACACUUUCUCUAAAGCUUUUAUUUAGUGUUCUGAGAUUUUUUUACAGCAAAAUAAAUUAAAGUCAAAGCUAAAAAUUUUAAACCUACAUUUUAGAGCAAAAAAUAGAAAGCUACAGUUUCAACCAAUCAAACCCAUAGAUCCAGGUUUAACCCUUUAAAAUUACCAAAAAUAAAUAAAUAAUGGAAGCUUUGUAUAAAAUUGAACUGUGUGAAUCUGUGAUUGUGAAUACGCCAGUUUUUCUCCAUCCCCAACCCGGCCUUUAGAUACAAAGUCAACCAAGCAUGGGUUUGUAACCUUAAUAGAUUAAUUAUAUUUGAGGCCCAAGUCUAAAUGAAAACAACACAGAUCCAAUGGUAGGACGUUACAGACGUCAAGUUCGACUUCCACCUUUCACUACAGAUUUUUCUUUGAAAGAUAUAUUUAAAUAGUUAUUACUGGACCCAAAAAUUAGUAGUGUCCUUUCAAUUGAUGCAUCCUGCAAAGAGCUGGGGAGCCAGUUUAUGAUUUCAUCCCAGAGAUUUGUCGGAGAUGCAUGAAAAUAAUGUUUCUCAAAGAACAAUGCUCAUAU